rnacentral:rRNA from 1 species
UACGUAGGGCGCAAGCGUUGUCCGGAAUUAUUGGGCGUAAAGAGCUCGUAGGCGGUUUGUCGCGUCUGCUGUGAAAACCUAAGGCUCAACCUUGGGCUUGCAGUGGGUACGGGCAGACUAGAGUGCGGUAGGGGUGACUGGAAUUCCUGGUGUAGCGGUGGAAUGCGCAGAUAUCAGGAGGGAACACCGAUGGCGAAGGCAGGUCACUGGGCCGCAACUGACGCUGGAGGAGCGGAAAAGCAUGG